AAGAGACAGGUCGGUUAAAAAUCACAACAGUAUAAAGAUUUAGGUCCACCUGCAAAAUGUAUUUUUCUUAUCUGGCACACUAGGCUUCAUCAUACUAUAAACAUGUUAGUUGUGCAGAUUCUUCAUAUAUCAAAGUGUAGCUUUGUCUAGAUAUCCCUCUGAUUUAUUUUCACCAUUUAUAUACAAACAGAGGCAUUUCAAUCCAUAUGGUGCAUUUAGGAAAAUAUGCUUUUUUUGCUGUUGUAUUUUAUCUUGUGGAAGUAUAUGUAAACAUGGUACUAUACAUGGCUGCCUGUUUAAGAGGUCACCUUUAGCAUUCGGGAAAAGGGUCCUUGGCACUUGCAGGUUCCUUAGGAACAAAAAGAUCCUUUUAUGUGUACUAAACAAGAAUGUUUCUAAAAAGACCUCAAUCAAAGGUGAUUUUUUUCGGUCCUGAUUUUUAAUGCAACUAUGCUGCAUGCCAAUGAUUCUUAUGCACCUGGGCUCCAUUUAGGAGAUUGUCAGUUGCAGCAUUCUUUUUUUUUUCUUUCCUGACAAAAUUCUUGGUUUGGAAAACAAUUUUCAGUCUCUAGGAUCUACUAUAACAUUAAUAUAUAAACUAGACUGGGUAGAAGAAGAAUUCUCUACUUACCCCUCACCUGCUUACACAUACACCUAAGAUUGCUAAAACAAAUCAAAUACAAAAUGCAAAGAACCAAAAUGAGUCUUAGCUUCAGAAAGCAUGUGCUUACACUGAAAGCAAAAUUCUUUUCUUUUUAAGGCUUUUGAAGAAAUAUAUUGGAAUAAAGUGAAUUCAAAUCUGAUGACUCCAAGCCCUCCGCUUUUAAGAUACUUUGUCCCUAUUCUUCUUGGCCCAACUUGCCAUAUAUUGAGGAAGCCCUCUUACCCCUUAUUAUCACUAUAAUUACCCUUUCAGUCUGGGUGAGAGGUGGGGAAAAUGGUAAUUAUUUUUUCCUUUCCUAAUUUCUAUAAUUCAAAGAAAUUCACUUUAGACAGCACUUUCAUUAUAUAAGGGAAGAAUAAUUUCCACUAGCUUCCUAUUGUAUGUUCAUCUUUCAUUUCUUCCUGAUAGUUAAAACAGAUGCUGCUUUAUAGAAAAAAUUAGGGUAGAAUGUCAUGUGUGGCAGUUUAUUAACUCUAAUCUACCUAGGGUCAGACCUGCCUUGGUAAGUCAGAGAUGUGGAGUCAUCUCUGUUGCAAUAGGUGGUGGUGAAUGCCCUGUUCUCCUAGGUUUGCAGAAACUGGAGCCCAGGGCAGACAUCUAGCUGUGUAACCUGCAGUGCCCUCACUGACUAGCUGUCUUAAAAGUAAUUUUGCAGAAUGUGUUUGGGCCUCUUCUUUCAUCAAACAAAAUAAAACAAGAACAGUAUUCCUUUAGUGGUAAGUGAUUGCUGAAAUAUUAGCCAGAAAUUUAAGACACAGGUCUUACAUGAGGAGAUGGACCAAAAUCAAGAUUCCAGAAGUUUAUUCUGCAUGAACUCCCUGAAGAGGAGCCAAGAUGCUCUAGUGUAUGGCUCAGUUUUUACCAAUUUGUUGAUUUCAUGUAAAGAUGUUUAUUUAUUUUUUUUUUACAAAGUUGGGGCAAAUCUUUUCAGGUUUGAAAAAAGUAAACAUCAUGUGUCUUCUAAACAUUUAGCUGGCAUAACAGGAGCACACACCCCCACCUCCAAAAAGGUGCAUCUUUGGAAAAGGGGAAACCAAAUAAGUUAGACAUCUUGCCUUAACAGUCUUAACCCAAAAAGUAGGAAAGCAAGUUUCAUCAUAAAUGAAACACUAAAGCAAGGCUUCUAAGUAGACCGUAACACAGGGGGAAAAAAAUCAAGAUAUUGCUAAUUAACCCCCAGGGCACCUCCUUUAUUUCCCACAUAGAAAGCCUUUCCUGCUUGGAAGAAGCUACUAAGGUACAAGUUGAGCUGGAAAGGAGGAAGAAAUGAAGAAGAAAAAGAGGAAGAGAGGGAAAAACCUGGGUGUAUUGGUUCAUUGGUCAAGGCAUACAAGUUAGAUCUUCAAAUUACUACAACACUUUUGUCAGAAAUGUGCUUUGUUUAACUCCAACUUUGUUUCAGGCAUCAAUAAAUUUACAAAAAAGCUUCGGAGUCCAUAUGCAAUUGAUAACAAUGAACUACUUGACUUCCUUUCCAGAGUCCCUUCAGAUGUACAAGUGGUGCAAUACCAAGAAUUGAAACCAGAUCCUUCUCAUAGCCCAU
rnacentral:sRNA from 1 species